GCUUGAUGGCGUCGGGCUGGAGAACCGCAGUCCCGGCUGCGGCAGCUGGGAGAAGGCAUCCUGUGUGAGGCUCCGGUGUCCCCAGCGUGCCGGGGCCUCGGGGAGUGGGAAGUGGAGGCAGGAGCCCUCCUUACACGCCAUGAGUUUCCUGAUCGACUCCAGCAUCAUGAUUACCUCGCAGAUACUGUUUUUUUUGGAUUUGGGUGGCUUUUCUUUAUGCGCCAGUUGUUUAAGGACUAUGAGGUGAGAAUAAAUCAUUUUGUCAUACUUACACUAUAUGAAUUUAGAUUGUUUUAAAAUGGGACAAGAAAAAUGCCUCCAUUAAAGAAACAUUAUGUUCAUUUCCAAGAUAGGAAGCUUUUACCAAAUAAGUACUAUAUAACUAUUAGAUUGGAGAAUAUAAUUAGGCUUAAUUGAUUUAAAAGGGGGGAAAAAGGCGAGUCAAAUAUAGCCCAGAAGUUAGGAGCAAGGAAUGUCAUGCCUUAGUCAUAUCAGGAUAUGCACCAAUAGCAAAUAGUUAUUCUGUAGGAGAUAAUUUAAUUCAUAAUGUCUCACAAAUGUUCCCUUUCAUUUGUCUAUCUGGCCCUGAAUUGCGAGUCUUAUAUUUUAAGUUAAAACCAAAAUCCCAAGGCUGGUGUUGUUUUUAUCUUAAGCUUUGGAUUCAGAAGAUCACCACCCUAGACUCGACAUUUCCUAAUUAGUUCUCCUAAUUAGUAAUAAGAUCAGUGGUUUUAGUCUACAUUUGGGUCAUUUCUAGGAUGUUCUCCAUUAAACUUUCCCAGGGAGUUUAUUGUCUGAAAGAGCCUGGGAUUCUGGAGAUUUUCUUCUGCCCAAUACUUUAAGGCCUCCCAGGGGAGGUUCCAGAACUGAUCCAGGAUCUGCAGAGUGUUGAAGAACCCCUUUAAACAUUAACCAUUAUAUACAAAUCUGUCAGUUUUUUGUCAGUGUGCGUCAGGAAUUCUAAGUGCUACCUAUGACCGUGUCACUUCAUCUUCUUGUCCUCAAAAUUCUUCUUCCACAAGAGGAUGCUGGUAAUAGUGACUCAGGAUUCAGAAGUGCCACCUACUUUGAUCUUUUUCUUCAGCUCCAGGCAAGUUGUUGUUGUGGCCCUACUUCCAGUGACUUGAGAAUUUCCUCAAAAUAAGUUUCUGACUUGUAACCAGAAGGAGGUUAUCAGUUCAGUUUUUAAACAAGGAAAUAACUUCAAGUCUCUAUUUGGCUUUUAACAGGUAACGUCAGUAUGUUGUACAGGUGAUCUUCUCCGUGAUAUUUGCAUUUUCUUGCAUCAUGUUUGAGCUCAUCAUCUUUGAAAUCUUGGGAGUAUUGAAUUGCGGGUGAGUAAGAGUACUGAAAACUCCUCUUGACGAGUUCUGUGCUACAUUCUUUACGGUGGAAAAUCUACCUGGAUCUCAUAACUGAAAAAAAAAACAAAAAAACACUGUUAAUAGUUUAGUCUCAGUAACUACAAUGAUCACAGCAGAUAUGGGUCACAGCCACCUAAUAGCUGGUUUGACAAAGAUUAUGAGAUGCCAGGAAAAAAAAGAUCUGACCAUUAACUCUGAAGAACUCUUUGGAGUGAGGCUGUGAAGCUGCAGUCUAGGCUUCACUCCUAGAAGCUUUAUUUUCUCAGGACUGCUCACUGACUGAAUCCCAGUAACAGCCCUUCACAUUGUUCUACUGAUUGAAAAUCUCUACCUGAAAAGAUUAGAAUUCCUCAGAGCUACUUAAUGAUCUCUCUGAAGACUGAACUCCAGUUCUUACUUAACUUAGUUACUUUUACUGAUUUUACAGUCAUGGUCAAGUUUGGUUGAAUUUAAAGUGUUUCUUAAAACACUUUUUUAAAGUAACUCUUCAUUCCCCUCCAAAUAAUAGACCUGUUAGUUUAUUAGACAGCCUAUCCAAAAUAUUUCUUGCUUCUUAAUCUGCAAGCUUGAGUAUUUUUUUAGGCCAGCAUUUAUAUGUAGCGUUCAUCAACUAUGCUACGCAGACUUUUGUUGUACUUUUUUUAUCACCACCUGGAAAAACCUUUUAAAAGUAAAGUAGUCUUUCACUCUAAAGUUAGGACCCAGUGCCAAGGUGAGUUCAUUAUAGACCCCUGGUACUUGAGACUUGUAGAGAGACUGUACUCUCAAAUCCUUUGAUAAUCAGAGUUGAAAACAAAAUUUAAAAAGAAAAACUUACUGUACAAAUGGUUAAUCACAAAACAUUGAAAGGUUAAAAAAAGAGAGAGGGACCAGACACAGUGGCUCACGCCUAUAAUCCCAGCACUUUGGGAGGCUGAGGCAGGAGGAUCACUUAAGUGCAGGGAUUCAAGACCAGCCUGGGCAACGAAGUGAGAACCUGUUUCUACAAAAAAAUAAGAAAAA